GAUGAACGCUGGCGGCGUGCUUAACACAUGCAAGUCGAACGGGAUCGGCUGGAGCUUGCUCCGGCCGUGAGAGUGGCGAACGGGUGAGUAAUGCGUGACCGACCUGCCCCAUACACCGGAAUAGCUCCUGGAAACGGGUGGUAAUGCCGGAUGCUCCAGUUGGAUGCAUGUCCUUCUGGGAAAGAUUCUAUCGGUAUGGGAUGGGGUCGCGUCCUAUCAGGUAGUCGGCGGGGUAACGGCCCACCGAGCCUACGACGGGUAGCCGGCCUGAGAGGGCGACCGGCCACAUUGGGACUGAGAUACGGCCCAGACUCCUACGGGAGGCAGCAGUGGGGAAUAUUGCACAAUGGGCGCAAGCCUGAUGCAGCGACGCCGCGUGCGGGAUGACGGCCUUCGGGUUGUAAACCGCUUUUGACUGGGAGCAAGCCCU
rnacentral:rRNA from 1 species